UGAUAACAAACUAACAUACUAACUUAUCUGAGAAAGAACGGAAAUUGAUAACAUCACGAGUAAUCCUAUUUAGCGUUGUUGGAUUUCAAUCCCAGUCUAUAUCAUUUAAUUUCACCUUUCAUUUAAGCUAUGAUCUAAUGCCAUAGCAUUCACGCAAAAUCGAAGAACCCUAAUCAAAUUCGUCCAAAUCGUGCUUCUCUGUUGCGAUCAGCGUCCGACAAAUUAGUCGGCAUGCCCACGUCACCUAAUCGGUUCUCGACCUGCAGCACAUAUGAGGUUUCAACCGGUACAAAUGGACGAUGCUGACGGAGGUAUGAAUGUUUUAUGUGUAAAUGCAAAUUCUGAUAGGAUUCUGCAAAAAGCUGUAUGUAUAACUACGGAGUUAUAGUUGUUGGCAUGAAACGGGUCAAAUCCGCAGGAAACCAAGUAUUUUGGUUGACAUUUGAGCACUACACAACCAAAAUAAAAAAACUUAGUGUUUCCACUGGAUGUUCAAAAUUUUUUAUGGUUGGGGAAAAAAAAUUCUAAAAAGAUAGUUGUUUUAGUUAUGCCCAUCAUCAUUACCAAAGUUCAUUUCAUUUCUCUAAUGAGUUGAUUAUUCUGAAAUUGACUGUGAUUGGAACAGAAAUGAGUGGAAAAAGGAAAAAAAAUGGCUUAUUAAAUUUUAUUUAGUUUUCAAUUAAUGAUUAAGAUCGUUUUAAUUAGUUUUCGGGUUUUGAGGAAGAUGAUAUUAUGUACAAAUGCAAUGUCACGGAUGGCAUCGAAAUUGGAAUGAACGAUACGGAAAUAGGACAUGAAAGAGCAAGCAUGCUUAUCAGGGAACGACAACAUAUCCGAUUGGAAUGUUCAUUUGAGGAAGAGGUUGAUUAUCGGUUCCCAGAAUUUUUGGCUAAAACAGAUAUGAGAAAUCCUUAGUUUGACGUUGGCCAACUGUUUUGGUCAAUGCAAGAUUUUAGAAUUGUAGUGAGAGCAUAUGGUGCUACGAACGGGUAUAAUGUAAAGUUCAAUGGCAACGCCGUAUAAUCAACGAAUGUAGCAGAAUACAAACAUUGGAUGAAAAUAAUUAGUGAAGUGAAGCUGCACAUAAUUGGUUGAUAAAGAGGUACCCUUGGGAGUGGAGUCAAUCUCAUUGUUCAAUACAAUUGAAGUGCGACAUUGUACCCUCAGCAUUUUGCGUUUGAGCUGCAACUGUGGAAACAACUUUUUGCUUACGACUGGAAAUUAGCAUUUGGGUUUAGCAAUGUUCAGGUUUUAUGUUUUGUACCCAAAAUUUAUCACUUUUCGCAUUUGGAGUAAUCUGCCCAUUGAAAUGUAUAACCUGCUCGUGUUUUUUGAGUACAC
rnacentral:lncRNA from 1 species